rnacentral:rRNA from 1 species
AACGAACGCUGGCGGCAUGCCUAACACAUGCAAGUCGAACGAGACCUUCGGGUCUAGUGGCGCACGGGUGCGUAACGCGUGGGAACCUGCCCUUAGGUUCGGAAUAAUUCCCCGAAAGGGGUGCUAAUACCGGAUAAUGUCUUCGGACCAAAGAUUUAUCGCCUUUGGAUGGGCCCGCGUUGGAUUAGCUAGUUGGUAGGGUAAAAGCCUACCAAGGCGACGAUCCAUAGCUGGUCUGAGAGGAUGAUCAGCCACACUGGGACUGAGACACGACCCAGACUCCUACGGGAGGCAGCAGUGGGGAAUAUUGGACAAUGGGCGAAAGCCUGAUCCAGCAAUGCCGCGUGAGUGAUGAAGGCCUUAGGGUUGUAAAGCUCUUUUACCCGGGAUGAUAAUGACAGUACCGGGAGAAUAAGCUCCGGCUAACUCCGUG